UUACUUUACUUUGUCAAAACAGAGGGAGGUAGGGAAAAAGGCAUGCUGUGAGAUAUGCUUUACAUGAGAAAUUAAAUUAUCACACUAAAGUUUGCCAGUGGAACUAGUUUUAGCACAUUAAACAUUGCAUUCAGCCCAAGUGGGGCCUGAAGCAGCUGGUCCCAUUUUACCAGCCACUUCAUUGUGAAUUCUGGAAUGAGGAAAAAAAAAAAGACAAACACUUUCGCUGCCAUUUCUUACCCUGGUUUUAAUCAGGCAGCAUUUCCUCAUGCUCUUGUGAUGCCACAGUUUCUUGGUUACAAACAUUGCAGGGGAUGGCUGCAUUGUUUUAUUAAAAAAAAUAAAAAAAGUUUCUGCUGACAUUUAAGAAACACAACAGGGAGAGUUCAAACUCUGAUCAUUUUGUAAACACCAAAGACGCAGGACCGAGUCAGAAGCCUACAUGGAUCAGAAAUAUUGCUUAGAUUUAACCCGGAUGUGUACACAACAAAGCACUUUGGCCAAAGAAAUCUGAGCUGCUAAUAAUCCACACUCCAGGCCAUCCAUGGAAAAAAGACUGAUGAAAUGCAGGCCCUGCACCUGUAAAGGCUACAGACAUCUGUCACGUCCUCAAGUCAGCACAGGAGGCAGCUGGCUUUGAUGAGUGAUCAGGCGCAGCAUGAAGGGCUUUACCUUCUUUUCUUUCUCCUUUUUGCUCUUCCUAAGCUGUGUGGAGCAGUCUCUUCUCGUGGCAUUGGACCAAAUCACUCCAAUCAUGGAGCUUCUGUUGGAAGUUUUGGACACAGGUGACAAAAAAGCAUUUGGGAGGGAGCGAGGAAAGGAAAUUUGAUGCGUUUUCAAGUCUCGAAAACAACAAUUGGACUCCAGAAAAAUGUUCCAUGAAGCUGGUGGUUCCAGCAGUGUGGGCCCUCCCCAGGGCUGCUGGAUUCAUCACUACUCUUUCAGGGUUUUGUUUAUGAUCCUGCAUGGAAAGGACAUUCCCCCAUGUGCACAGGAUGCCCUUCCUGAUCCCACAGUUCUCCAGCAGCUGUUCCAAGCGUGGAGCCCCUGGAGAAGCACGGGGCACGGGUGGCUCGCUGCUCCUCUUGGCUUGGCCUUCUUGGAAAAGCCACUUUUCUACCCCUUGCCUGCCCACAUAAAAGCCUCACCCCAGCACAGGCAGCAGGGCCUGGUGCACGUGUCCACAUGUGCAGAUCCACCCAAGGAUACUCCAUCAUUGUCUGUGCCAAGAAAUUGCUUUUAAUUAAUCAGGGUUUCAAUUAUGUGCAGUUCUCAUCUCUAUACCCUGGUCCUGGUUAGCUUCAGCUCUACAGAGUCACAUCUGUGCCAGUACUAAUGAACAUGAAUUUCCAAAUAUUCAUGUCUUCUUUCAGCCAUGUUACCACCUGGAAAUCUCAAUUUAUUUUAUUUUCUCCUCUGUUAAGGAAAUGUCCAGGAAUUCUAUAGAUGUGGAGAAAAAAAAAAAAAAGAUAAAAAUAUGAUCCAAUUCCCUCUUCCCUUCAAAAAUAUCAGAAAGGAAAAUCAUGUAAGUCAGGGCUCAAAAUUAGCAACAUUAUCUCACAGUUUUCCUUAUGCUUCAUGUUUGUUUGUUUGCUUUUUUAAUGAGGUGCUGGCUGUAGAGGGGAUGGCUAAAUGCUGGAGAAAUGUUAGAUCAGAGCAUCUGAUUUCCAGCUCUCAAGAUACUUACAGGGUUUUUUUUCAGAUUGAAAUCAUCUCUCAAGGAACACACAGACGUGAUACGAGGCCAGUGCUCAGUAAAAUCAGAUCAAUGGCAAUCAGAAGAUUCUGAGAUCUUCUGCCUCCUCUCCAGUCUGGGAGGAGGGAGAGGCACUAAAGGGUUCAAAUUCCAGGUCAGGACUGCAGAUGCCACGUCCUCAAUUCAUCUCUGCUGUCAAAGCCAUCAGCCAAAUGCCCCACAGCUGCUCACGGAGAAACAGCUUCUGUGUGUCAAGCUUGAAAUGCUUUCAGAGAGCAACACAGAGGAGCCUGAAAAUCAAUUAAUUAUACAAAUAUUAGUGACUUCCUAAAUGUGCUCAGUGCCGGGAGCUCCCUUGCACCUCUGGUCCCCUGCACCACAGUCCUGGGGCACUACAUUCUCUAGGAGAUAAAAAGAGUAAUUAAAAUCAAGCAAGAAAAGCAACAUUUAAAAAUUUUCUCUUUCUGCUUGUUUUUACACAGGACUUUUUCAAAGCCAGUUGCACGCAAUUACUUAAUUAGGUACUUAGCUGCAAAUUACAUGAAGCAAAGUGCCUGUUUUAUCUACUUGGAAAUGUAAACUGGGCCCUGUGCUAUCCCUAACACAGAAAUUCCCUCCUUUCUAGAGAAAAUUGUCUUGCACAUAAAGCAAGAGACUAAUUUGAAUUGUGACUUUAAUUGUUUGGGAAAAAGGUCUUUGGAAGCACAAAAAGCACUUUCAGGGAGAAAAAUUAACUGAGAAGACACUGGAAAUCAGACAUAUUAAAGACAUGUUGGAUUCCAGUGGUUAUAUAUUAAAUGCAUAAGAAAAAAUGGGAUGCUUUGCAAAUCGGUGAUGGAGAAGGGUUGAGUUGAGCAAGUAGUCUGUGACAAUCCUGGCUGUUGGGUACUAAAACACAGCCCAGCUUCCUACAGUUGUGCUGAACCCAUCACCACCUGCCACAAAACAGGAUUACAUUUUUCCUGAAGCAUACUCAAAAACAUAUUCUGGGGUAAAAAAUGUCACCAGCUGACACACCCAGCCACAUUGCAGUGCUCCUGCUGUGGUACCUGCAGCCUUCCAUGGGCCACACACUGAUCAAACCCCUUGGAGAUGACACCUGAGGAAAUGACACCUGUAUCUCCCUGGGCCCACAGUCCUAGCUCUGCACACAGAAAAUUUUAAUGUUGGCCAAAUUUUGCCCAUUGUCAGGUCCAUUUGACCCCCUCACUUUCCUUCUUGCCCAACAUUUCGGUGUGACAUGGAUCAAAUGUGACUUUUUGUCCAGUUUCUGGGCAAAAUUCAGCAUCGAUGGAGCACCUGGCUCUGCCAGGUCUCCUCAGUUCUGGUUAAAUUUCCCACCCAAAUUGUCCUCAAGCUCCAAGUUUCCAUAUUGAAGGAGAAGGUGUCAGAGCAAGGAAUUCUGCAGGCAGACUCAUGCUUCUCAGGGGAAACAUCAGCGUAUGUGGGGAAGAAUUUCUUCACAGAAAGGAUGGUUAGGCAUUAGAACAGGUUCCCAAGGUGGUGGAGUUGCCAUCCCUGGAGGUGUUUAGCCUGGAAGUGGCACUCAGUGCCAUGGUCUGGCUGACAAGGUGGUGUUUGCUCACAGGUUGGACUCGAUCUCAGAGGUCUUUUCCAAUGGAUUUCUAACCGACCCUGGCAUUAGGGGAAAACAGGGACAGGGGAGAUUGAGAUUAGAUAUUGAAGAAGCGUUUUUCCCGGCUAGGUUGCCCAGGCAGGUGGUGGAGCGCCGGUCCCGGAGUCAGGUUUAGGAGGCGCUUGGUCGGGCGCUGCUGCUGAGGUUUAGUAGCGAAGGGGUUACAGCGGCAGUGCGCGCUGGGACCGAUCUUAAAGGUCUCCUGCAGCCUCGG
rnacentral:lncRNA from 1 species